rnacentral:pre_miRNA from 1 species
AGUCCAUUCCACAUCUGCCAAAGGAGAGUUGCUCUGCAAAAUCUCCUCACAUUGUCGUGUUCGCUGCAUGGCCGUGAAAACCAGCUACGACUAAUUGGAGAAAAGCGCAACGGUAUUUUUUGCACUCAUUUUUGUUAGGGUUUGGAUUGGUUUUUGUUAGGGUUUUUUAUUUGUUAGGGUUUGGAUUGGUUUUUGUUAGGGUUUUUUUGUUUGUUAGGGUUUGGAUUGGCU